UGGGGAAUCUUGCGCAAUGGGCGAAAGCCUGACGCAGCAACGCCGCGUGGGGGACGAAGGCCCUCGGGUCGUAAACCCCUUUCAGCAGGGAAGAAGAUGACGGUACCUGCAGAAGAAGCGCCGGCCAACUACGUGCCAGCAGCCGCGGUAACACGUAGGGCGCAAGCGUUGUCCGGAUUCAUUGGGCGUAAAGAGCUCGUAGGCGGUUUGGUAAGUCGGGUGUGAAACCUCCAGGCUCAACCUGGAGACGCCACCCGAUACUGCCAUGACUCGAGUCCGGUAGGGGAGCAUGGAAUUCCUGGUGUAGCGGUGAAAUGCGCAGAUAUCAGGAGGAACACCAGUGGCGAAGGCGGUGCUCUGGGCCGGUACUGACGCUGAGGAGCGAAAGCGUGGGUAGCAAACAGGAUUAGAUACCCCCGUAGUCC
rnacentral:rRNA from 1 species